AAAAAGAAAAGCUGUAGAGAAAACUGUUAUUUAAUUAUCCUAAGUAUUUUGUAUAAUGCCUAGAACAUAUUUAUAAUUUUGCUCCAAUAAAAAUGUAUAAAAUGAAUGAAUUAAUUAAUAAUCAAUUUAGUCAAAAUAGUUGUAUCUGUCAGUACUAUUUAGCACUAGUUAGCACUUGUUGGUUGCAAGUGAGAAAAAUCUGACUCAAAAUUAUUUCAUUGAAAAUGAGUAAUU
rnacentral:lncRNA from 1 species